rnacentral:rRNA from 1 species
GACGAACGCUGGCGGCGUGCCUAAUACAUGCAAGUAGAACGCUGAAGAGAGGAGCUUGCUCUUCUUGGAUGAGUUGCGAACGGGUGAGUAAUGCGUAGGUAACCUGCCUUGUAGCGGGGGAUAACUAUUGGAAACGAUAGCUAAUACCGCAUAACAAUGGAUGACACAUGUCAUUUAUUUGAAAGGGGCAAUUGUUCCACUACAAGAUGGACCUGCGUUGUAUUAGCUAGUAGGUGAGGUAAUGGCUCACCUAGGCGACGAUACAUAGCCGACCUGAGAGGGUGAUCGGCCACACUGGGACUGAGACACGGCCCAGACUCCUACGGGAGGCAGCAGUAGGGAAUCUUCGGCAAUGGGGGCAACCCUGACCGAGCAACGCCGCGUGAGUGAAGAAGGUUUUCGGAUCGUAAAGCUCUGUUGUAAGUCAAGAACGGGUGUGAGAGUGGAAAGUUCACACUGUGACGGUAGCUUACCAGAAAGGGACGGCUAACUACGUG